CUAGGUGACCGUGCUUGAGCAGGGGGGUGUGGACUAGAUGAUCUCCAGAGGUCCCUUCCAACCUUGGUCAUUCUGUGAUUCUGUGAAAUUUCAUUGCUACUUGACACUACUCUUAAGUUGGGACCUAUCCUGAUUGUCAAACCAAUGAAAGAGACCUGUAUUUCUUCUUAAAGAAAUAAUUGAGUAAUAUUUUGCUAAUCUGACUAAUGUAACUCAAAAGAUUAUAUUUUGUGUCUAUAAUAUAGUCAAUGCCAGUGUUUUAGAGCUCUGAGUAAUACAUAAUUAGUGCUUGUUACUUUUUUAGGCUCUAAGUUUGUAAUAUUAUGGUUUUUGGCAAAGGAGUCUUCACACCUGUGCUGUUUGCAUUGAAAUUCUGGAUAACAUUAGCGUAACUGCUCUGUUCCCCCUACAGAAACUUCAGGAAAAGAAAAGAACCAAUGGACGGACUUUUAAAAGUAUCUUUAAACUUCAGUAUCAAGGAAACUGAAACUGACCCAGGUUUUGCAUCUACUGAUCCCAGAGAGCAACUGAAUUUAUUCCUUCCUACCCACUGCUGCAGAAGCAAAACUUCAGUUUUUCUAAACUGAUGCCCGUGUCUACUCCAGCUCAGAUAAAGAUGCUCCCAUCCUCCAAGAAGAGAGAUCUCCAUCCAAGACUCUGGAUACUCUUUGCAAAAGCACUUUCUGAAAACGAAGAGCCUCGGGAUCAGUAACUUCUCUGAGUGCACAAACAUACAGUACAGUAUUGUGCCCACAAACAAUAUCAAGCCUGCAUUCUGAAAUGAGAAUAACACUUGGAAUGCUAGCAACAAGAUGCUUUUUUGUGUUUGAAAAUUUCAGGCUUUUAACAGAUCACUGUGCCAUCAGAAUCAGUGAUUCACAGAAAUGAAUUGUUGUUAUCAAAGACACACGUUGCAAGUCUGGAGGGGGAUUCAGGAAAUGCAGCUUCAGCUAGUGCAAAGAACUGUCACCUCUUUGCUCUGGUUAUCCAUGUCCCUAAAUUAGCCAUGAGAUAAUUCUGCCACUUCACUGAACCUUUGUGCAUUCUGCAUUGAAGGGUGCUUAUUCUUCCUUGUCCAGGGGGAAAUGUUUUAGUGGUGUUUAUGGAAAAAACAAGAGAAUAAAGCUCCCAUGCAAAUCUUGUUUUGUGUAUUU
rnacentral:lncRNA from 1 species